GGUGUAAUUCCCCCGGAAGUGGUUCGAAGUUGGUUUAUCUGCGACACAGUUUUUAAAGGAAGGAGCGGCCCUGGUGAGGACCAAUGUGAGGACGUGACUGUGUCCAGGGUAUCAGGGCCCGAGCACCGACCAGAGUGAGACCAGUUCGACCAGAAGGACGUAAACGACUGGAAGAUGAAGUGUGCACAUCUGAAGGAGAAGCUGAAGUGCAGUCUCCUCAACGAGGAGAGAAGCUUAAAGGAGAAAGAGUAUCUAGUAGAAUGGCUCGAGAGGAGAAGAAUCAGAUUUUGGAUUUGGAGAAGGAAAACCAGAGGUUGUUACUGCAGAUCCCUAAGCCUCAGGUUUAUGAGAGUCCCACCUUCACGAAAUACUUGGACAAUGUGAAUGCCAUAAAGGAGAAGCAAGUACAACUGGAGAGAGAGAAGGAGAAGAAAGAAACGGAGAAGCAGGAAAAGACAAAGCAAGUGGAGAGAGAGAAGAAAGACAAGACGGAGAGCGAGGAACAGAAGAAGCGAGAAAAGAAUGAGGAGAAGGAGAAGGUGGGAAGUAGGAGGGGGAGAGAGUGGCAAAGAUCAGACCGAUGGAUCCACCGAGUUCUUCUCCUUGUGCACAGUGAACUGAUGUGAAUCAGAGAAGUUGGUGUAUUACCUUGAUCAGGACAUUUCUCCUGAAAGACUAAGCCUUGUUACUUUGUUCGGCUGUUUUUGGACAUUAUAAAUCAUUAAUCUGGGUUCGCCCGUGUUCACAGACCUGAGGCUCAAGAUUACAUUUAUUUUAGUAGCUUGAAAACGUCUCGCUUUAACCACAAGGAAACAAAACAAGGCCACAAACAACUGUUCACACAUUUAAAUUUCAUCUUAAUUGAUUUUAACCAGAACCUAUCUCUGUGGUCGUUUUUGUGCUGUUGAUGUUUUAUGCAAAUCCCUGCUCCCUGCUGUGCCCUUUAGUGUUCAGCCCCAUCGUAAUGAUGAGCACUCACUUUCACUUGAAGCUAUACAAGCUGCCUAAUUGUGCAAGACUUUAGUUUAAACAGUCAUUUGCUGCAAUGCUUAACCUCCACAGGUGUUCCAUCACAGCACAGGGCACAAAGCCUCGUCCUCCAGGCAGCGCUGUGCACACAUACUCAAAGUGUGCAUGUGCAGAGAGGGGCCAAGGUUACUGAUCACAACAGAAGAUACGAGGAACAAGGAAAGCUCAAAGAAACUACUUCCUCUAAAAAGAACAUUUGUAAAACAAGUGAUGAGGUUAAACCGGUCAAAACCAGCCACAGACCAGCAUCAUCGUUAACCACAGUGUUUCCUGAUGAAGGUUAGGGUUAGGGAGAGAGGAGAAGGAUGUGGGAGGUUGCCCUAAGAAGGGACCGUUUUGCCGCCUCUUCAGGAGAGAGGACUUUGACAGGGCGGGGCCGACUGUCCGGCUUAAAGAUGGUGUUGUGCCAACCAUUUUCACCUUUCCAGCUCAUCUUCAAAGGAUAUGUGUAUCAUUGACCAACAAUAAUUUAAGGUGUAUAAGAUUGAUGUAUCAAUAUAAAUAUGUGAUUAAAUGUCACAUUUUAGUUUUUUAUUUCUGCAAGUUAUGUAAUGUGUUGUUUAUUACAGCACAUUUUAGACAUUCAAAACUUCUUUACUGUUUAUUUUAGUCGGUAGCAACAAGAACCACAACCACUUCUAGAAGGGCGGAUGACAACCUGCCAAUGGACUUGAUGCCUGAUGUUAAAGGUCUAUGAUGGUGUUAGUAGCCCCCUCUGAGGGGCGCCCUAGGCAACCGCCUAUGUCGCCUGUAGGAAGGAGCGGCCCUGGUGAGGACCAAUGUGAGGACGUGACUGUGUCCAGGGUAUCAGGGCCGGAGCACCGAACAGAGUGAGACCUGAUCAUAGCCAUUUGUCUUGCAUAUAAAGGAGAAAACACAAUCUCAACAUCCAGGUGUAGACGACAGCUACACAGGAAUCCUCACAAAGUCCUUCAACAGCGAUAGACAACAUCAGCAGUUCAACAUUCAUAAAUACUUCUCAACGAACUUUGUUAGAAUGAAUCAACUGAGUUUAUCUGAAAUGGAGAUGAUCGACUGCUCAGGAAACAAAUCACUUGGACAGAUGCAGUCUGAUGAUGCUGCCCAACAUAAGGGGAACGGUGUCACCAAUUUGCUGAAGGCCCUCAGCCACCUGGACACAAGGAGGAAGAACCAGGAGCUCGCUGCAGUGAACGCUGCUCUUAAGAAGCUGCAUCAUUUGAACGCAGUUCUACUGAAGCAUGUGGCGGAGAAAGCUGCUCUGAAAAAACAGGCUGCAGUAAACGCUGCUAAAGCUGCAGUACAGGCUGCUCUGAAGAGGCAGCUGUUAGCUGAGAACGCAACUCUGAAGAAGCACAAGGCCUCUAAUGACUUACAUCUGGAUCAGAUCAGAGGCGACUGUGUCAACAUGUUGACGUUUGUCAACAUAUCAAAAGCCAGAGAGAGAGACUUGAAGAAGGAGAUGGAAGCUAUGAAGACGAAGAUGAAUGAGAAGGUGCAGGAAAACAUCUCCCUGACCUCUGAGCUUCAUCUCCAUCAGUUGGAGAGCCAGAAGGUCGAAUGUGACUUGAAGGUGAAAUGUGCAGCUCUGAAGGAGAAGCUGAACAGAAGUCUCCGCAAAGAGGAGAGAAGCCAACAGGAGAAAGAGUAUCUGAUAGAAGGGCUCGCGAGGAGAAAGAAUCGGAUUUCGGAUUUGGAGAAAGAAAAGCAGAGCCUGUUACUGCAGAUCCCUAAGCCUCAGGUUUAUGAGAGUGCCACCUUCACUAAAUACUUGAACAAUGUGAAUGCCAUAAAGGAGAAGCAACCACAACUGGAGAGAGAGAGAAGAAGGAGAAGAAGGAGAAGAAAGACGCGGAGAAGCAGGAAAAGAAAAAGCAGCUGGAGAGAGAGAAGAAGGAGAAGGAGGAGAAGAUAGAAACGGAGAAGCAGGAAAAGAAAAAGCAAUUGGAGAGAGAGAAGAAGGAGAAGGAGGAGAAGAUAGAAACAGAGAAGCAGGAAAAGAAAAAGCAACUGGAGAGAGAGAAGAAGGAGGGGCCGAAGAGCGAAGAAGUGAAGAAGAGAGAAAAGAAGGAGAAGAUAGAGCAGCUGGCGAGAGAGAAGAAGGAGAAGAUAGAAAUGGAGAAGCAGGAAAAGAAAAGGCAACUGGAGAGAGAGGAGAAGGAGGAGGUGGGAAGUAGGAGGGGGAGAGAGUGGUACCCCUGUUUUCUCUUUGAAAUCCGGAGCUAGAUCUCCUUAUAUUCUCCGACGGCCCCACACCUCCAUGUUGUGUCCACUGUGUCGUAUCCAGUGGGAGCAUCAGACCCAAUGUCUUUUGUUCUGAAGUUCCGAACAAAUCUUAAAAUGAUGCAACUUUUUCACCUUAAAGCAGCAGCUCAGUUAAGAUGAGUUUGUUUAUGUAUAAAAUGAAUAAAUUGUGUAUAUUACAAUUUCCAUGUGGUCAAAUGUUUUUACGAGGUAAAUAAUGUGUCGUGUUUCAGUGAGAAGCUGUAUGAAAAAGGACAAUUAUUUAUCUUUUUGUCUUUACUGCUAAAUGAACAGUUUGUCA